ensembl:lincRNA
CUCCUCAGAAACUGUUUUAAGAGAAAGAGGGGGCCAGCCAGAUGUUGGUGUGGAGAGGGUGAGGAAAAGGCUCCAUUUGGUUGCCUAGGAUUAGAAUAUUUCCAGGUCAACAUUGUCGGUCUCCUCACUCUGACAUGCAGUAAAUCCAGUACCAAACACUAAAGUAUUUUCUUUCUUUCUUUUCUUUUCUUCUUUCUCUUUCCACAAAACCAGGUAUUAUUUAAGUCUCUUGAAAGGCUGCACAAACCAACUGUUCCUCCCAGAUUAUCCCUUUCAGAGCUCGGGUGAUACGCCUCCUUGGGUUACACCUUCCAUGACUUGUGGUCAGAUGUGGGCUGUGCCAUUCUGCAUUAUCCUACCUUACAAGAAAAUAUUUGUAUAUUGGCCUCACCAGGUCCCCAGUUCCUCUGGGAAUCAUCCUGUACACAACAUCUUCACAAGGGUGGCAGGCAGUUGGAUCUCUGGCCUUCGUGGGACCACUGGACAUCUGGCAGAGAACCAGAAAACCACUCUUCCCUUCUGUGAGUCUACUCAGCCGGAAAACUACAAGAUGUGUGGCUGUGGGAUGAGGCUUUUUGAAAGAAUGAAAAAAAUGCAUGGCAUACAUCAUCAAGAAUCAAAGGUUGUGCCUGGCAGUGUAAUUGACUCUGUAAUAAAGAGAGAAGCUUUGCUAGGUGAGUGGACAGCAUUAUAAGAGGCUUUAUUCACAUCUGCAGAAAUGCAUUUUCAUUAAACGCAUGUGUUAAGCAUAUGUGCAUAAGGCACAGUAAUAGAUGGAUGUAAAACAUGGGUAGAUGAUGUCCUUGUAGGAGAUUUGACAAGGACUCUUGCUUUGAGGUUUGGAAGAGCUCAGGCAGCCUCCCGGCACUAUUGGCUGUGCUGCUAAUAAGAUUACAGGCGGGGCAUGAUUUCAUUCCAUGUAAUAUUUUCAUCAUUAGGAAGAGGGAAGUUAUUUUUACCAUUUCUGUUUUCUGAAAUUGAAAAGUUCUCAGGUACGAAUCCCAAAAGACGUUACGUGCAUGCUCCAUCUCCUAUUCAGGACGGUUCAAGGAGAAGACAGAAAGACCAUGUUUAGAGGCCAUUGGUCCAUCUACUCUAGAAACUUCCCCUUGGCAAUGGUCUCUGCCUAUGUUACAGAAGACGGCAAAAAUACAGGCCAUCGUGCAUCUGGCCAAUUCUGCAAUGCUCCAUCCCAGGAGGAAAUUCGUUCCUCACUCCAGCUGGUGAACAGCUAUGCCCUGGAGCCCAGGACGGACAUGCCUUGUAACUUUUUAACCUAGUUAGUGUAACUGCCAAUAUUAUUCCUAUUCAUAUAAAUGUCUAAUCCUUUCUUGAAUCUUGCUAGACUAUUUGCCUCAGUAAUAUCCUGCGGCACUGAAUUCCACAGGUAGAUUAUACGCUGCUUUAAAAAGUAUUCCUUUUCUUAGUUUUAAAUUUGUUGCCUUUGAAUGUCACAAAAUAGCCCUUGUUCUUGUAUUAAGUGAUGUAGGAUAGUUCAAAUUGACCCUUAUUUCUUCCAAGCACUUUCUUCACUAAUAUUAAAACCCUAUUUUCUUCAUAUAGUUCCUAUUUUGGCAUAUAUAAUCUUGAUUAAAUGAAACGAUUUAUGGAAGUAGUCUCACACUCUCUUGUGAGCAUAGUAGGCACUGGUAAAAAGCUCUCCUUGGUGUUCAAUGCCAUUUAUUGAACAAAUAUUUAUGAGUGCCUAUUAUGUGCAGGAAGUGUUCUAAUUUUGGAAAGACCGCUUCAAAUAAGACUGGGUCAUUGUUCUGAAGGACUUACUUUUCUGAAGGAGAUAAACAGUAACAUGGUGAAUAAAUCUGCGAACCACAUGGUUUUAGAUGGUAUUAAGUAUGACAGUAAGAUUGAAAGAGUGGCUGGAAACGCUUUGCAUGGCACAGUCAGGGAAUGGCUCUCUGAAAUGGGGACAGUUGCCAUCAGCUGUCAAGUAGUCCCCCUAGGUAAAAUCUCCAUGAAGGCGAACUCAAGCUCUGGAACAAUGCCCAGUAGUUGUUGAUGCUCAAUCAUUAUUUGUUGAGUGCAUACCUGAAUUAAAGUUGAGGAGGAAAGUCUUAGCUACCAAAAUGAGCCUAGAUCACACCACUGCACUCCAGCCUGGGCGACAGAAUGAGACUCCAUCUCAAAAAAAAAAAAAAAAAAAACAGAAUCAUUCGGCCUCAACCUUGCUCCCUUAGGACACUCAUGUUUGGAGUCCUGAGUGUCCACAUAAGAAGUGCAAGGAUGAGAUGCUGUGAGGAAGCUCGGGCUACAUGGAGUGACCCUGUGCAGGGAUUUCAGCUGACAGUGUCCUUCUGUUCUAUUCCCUGUGUAAUCCCUGCCCCUGCCUAGCUUACCAGCGGCAUCCACAGUACUUA